UACAGAGGGUGCGAGCGUUGUUCGGAAUUACUGGGCGUAAAGCGUGCGCAGGCGGUUUUGUAAGCCAGAUGUGAAAUCCCCGGGCUUAACCUGGGAAUGGCAUUUGGGACUGCAAGGCUUGAGUGCGGCAGAGGAGACUGGAAUUCCUGGUGUAGCAGUGAAAUGCGUAGAUAUCAGGAGGAACACCGAUGGCGAAGGCAGGUCUCUGGGCUGACACUGACGCUCAUGCACGAAAGCGUGGGGAGCAAACAGG
rnacentral:rRNA from 1 species